ACCUACGGGUGAAAGUGGGGGACCUUCGGGCCUCACGCGAUGAGAUGAGCCGAUGCCGGAUUAGCUAGUUGGCGGGGUAAAGGCCCACCAAGGCGACGAUCCGUAGCUGGUCUGAGAGGAUGAUCAGCCACACUGGAACUGAGACACGGUCCAGACUCCUACGGGAGGCAGCAGUGGGGAAUAUUGGACAAUGGGCGCAAGCCUGAUCCAGCCAUGCCGCGUGUGUGAAGAAGGCCUUCGGGUUGUAAAGCACUUUUGUUGGGGAAGAAACCGACCGGAUUAAUACUUCGGUUGAAUGACGGUACCCAAAGAAUAAGCACCGGCUAACUUCGUGCCAGCAGCCGCGGUAAUACGAAGGGUGCAAGCGUUACUCGGAAUUACUGGGCGUAAAGCGUGCGUAGGCGGUUUGUUAAGUCUGUCGUGAAAGCCCCGGGCUCAACCUGGGAAUGGCGAUGGAUACUGGCAAGCUAGAGUGUGUCAGAGGAUGGUGGAAUUCCCGGU
rnacentral:rRNA from 1 species